rnacentral:rRNA from 2 species
GAACGCUGGCGGCGUGCUUAACACAUGCAAGUCGAACGAUGAACCGCUUUCGGGCGGGGAUUAGUGGCGAACGGGUGAGUAACACGUGGGCAAUCUGCCCUGCACUCUGGGACAAGCCCUGGAAACGGGGUCUAAUACCGGAUAUGACUGUCCAUCGCAUGGUGGAUGGUGUAAAGCUCCGGCGGUGCAGGAUGAGCCCGCGGCCUAUCAGCUUGUUGGUGAGGUAGUGGCUCACCAAGGCGACGACGGGUAGCCGGCCUGAGAGGGCGACCGGCCACACUGGGACUGAGACACGGCCCAGACUCCUACGGGAGGCAGCAGUGGGGAAUAUUGCACAAUGGGCGAAAGCCUGAUGCAGCGACGCCGCGUGAGGGAUGACGGCCUUCGGGUUGUAAACCUCUUUCAGCAGGGAAGAAGCGAAAGUGACGGUACCUGCAGAAGAAGCGCCGGCUAACUACGUGCCAGCAGCCGCGGUAAUACGUAGGGCGCAAGCGUUGUCCGGAAUUAUUGGGCGUAAAGAGCUCGUAGGCGGCUUGUCACGUCGGUUGUGAAAGCCCGGGGCUUAACCCCGGGUCUGCAGUCGAUACGGGCAGGCUAGAGUUCGGUAGGGGAGAUCGGAAUUCCUGGUGUAGCGGUGAAAUGCGCAGAUAUCAGGAGGAACACCGGUGGCGAAGGCGGAUCUCUGGGCCGAUACUGACGCUGAGGAGCGAAAGCGUGGGGAGCGAACAGGAUUAGAUACCCUGGUAGUCCACGCCGUAAACGGUGGGCACUAGGUGUGGGCAACAUUCCACGUUGUCCGUGCCGCAGCUAACGCAUUAAGUGCCCCGCC